GUAGGGCGCAAGCGUUAUCCGGAAUUAUUGGGCGUAAAGAGCUCGUAGGCGGUUUGUCGCGUCUGCCGUGAAAGUCCGGGGCUCAACCCCGGAUCUGCGGUGGGUACGGGCAGACUAGAGUGAUGUAGGGGAGACUGGAAUUCCUGGUGUAGCGGUGAAAUGCGCAGAUAUCAGGAGGAACACCGAUGGCGAAGGCAGGUCUCUGGGCAUUAACUGACGCUGAGGAGCGAAAGCAUGGGGAGCGAACAGGAUUAGAUACCCUGGUAGUCCAUGCCGUAAACGUUGGGCACUAGGUGUGGGGGACAUUCCACGUUUUCCGCGCCGUAGCUAACGCAUUAAGUGCCCCGCCUGGGGAGUACGGCCGCAAGGCUA
rnacentral:rRNA from 1 species